rnacentral:rRNA from 1 species
UUGGCUACUAUGCCAGCUGGUGGAUUGCUCGGCUCAGGCGCUGAUGAAGGACGUGCCAAGCUGCGAUAAGCCAUGGGGAGCCGCACGGAGGCGAAGAACCAUGGAUUUCCGAAUGAGAAUCUCUCUAACAAUUGCUUCGCGCAAUGAGGAACCCCGAGAACUGAAACAUCUCAGUAUCGGGAGGAACAGAAANAGUAACCGCGAGUGAACGCGAUACAGCCCAAACCGAAGCCCUCACGGGCAAUGUGGUGUCAGGGCUACCUCUCAUCAGCCGACCGUCUCGACGAAGUCUCUUGGAACAGAGCGUGAUACAGGGUGACAACCCCGUACUCGAGACCAGUACGCUGUGCGGUAGUGCCAGAGUAGCGGGGGUUGGAUAUCCCUCGCGAAUAACGCAGGCAUCGACUGCGAAGGCUAAACACAACCUGAGACCGAUAG